AACGAACGCUGGCGGCAUGCCUAACACAUGCAAGUCGAACGAGACCUUCGGGUCUAGUGGCGCACGGGUGCGUAACGCGUGGGAACCUGCCCUUAGGUUCGGAAUAACUCCCCGAAGGGGGUGCUAAUACCGGAUAAUGUCUUCGGACCAAAGAUUUAUCGCCUUUGGAUGGGCCCGCGUUGGAUUAGCUAGUUGGUAGGGUAAAAGCCUACCAAGGCGACGAUCCAUAGCUGGUCUGAGAGGAUGAUCAGCCACACUGGGACUGAGACACGGCCCAGACUCCUACGGGAGGCAGCAGUGGGGAAUAUUGGACCAUGGGCGAAAGCCUGAUCCAGCAAUGCCGCGUGAGUGAUGAAGGCCUUAGGGUUGUAAAGCUCUUUUACCCGGGAUGAUAAUGACAGUACCGGGAGAAUAAGCUCCGGCUAACUCCGCG
rnacentral:rRNA from 1 species